UUUUUAAUUGACAUAGACCAAGUCAUCUAGUAAAAUGAGUCAUCUAGUAAAAUGAG
rnacentral:tRNA from 1 species